rnacentral:tRNA from 1 species
GGAAUUAGCUCAGCUGGCUAGAGCACUUGAUUUGCAUUCAAGAGGUCAUCGGUUCGACUCCGAUAUUCUCCACAC